rnacentral:tRNA from 1 species
GCAGUCGUGGCCGAGUGGUUAAGGCGAUGAACUAGAAAUCCAUUGGGGUCUCCCCGCAUAGAGUCGAAUCCUGUCGACUGCG